GGUGAUAUCGAUAGCACGUUGAAUGUGCCAGUUUUAUCCAUGGUUCACUUCAGUUGAGCAACGUUGCGCGUCGUUGGUAUCCGGACGGGUGACCACUUGGAAAAUGCGUGCUUCUAGUU
rnacentral:rRNA from 1 species